rnacentral:rRNA from 1 species
AUAAUAAUUUGUCUUUUAAUUGGAGGCUUGAAUGAAAGAUUGGACGAAAUAAAAUCUGUCUCAUAAAAAUUUAUUUUGAAUUUAAUUUUUAAGUUAAAAAGCUUAAAUUUUAUUAAAGGACGAGAAGACCCUAUAGAAUUUUAUAAUUAAAAAUUUAUUUAAUAAAAUUUUUUUUUAAAGUUUUUAAAUUAUUUUGUUGGGGCGACAGUAAAAUUAAUUAAACUUUUAUAAAUAAUAAAAAAUUAACAUUAAUUAAUGAAUAUAUUUAUGAUCCUGUAAUAUAGAUUAUUAGAAUAAGUUACCUUAGGGAUAACAGCGUUAUUUUUUUUUAGAGUUCUUAUUAAUAAAAAAGAUUGC